rnacentral:rRNA from 1 species
AGGACGAACGCUGGCGGCGUGCUUAACACAUGCAAGUCGAGCGGUAAGGCCUUUCGGGGUACACGAGCGGCGAACGGGUGAGUAACACGUGGGUGAUCUGCCCUGCACUUCGGGAUAAGCCUGGGAAACUGGGUCUAAUACCGGAUAUGACCUCCUAUCGCAUGGUGGGUGGUGGAAAGAUUUAUCGGUGCAGGAUGGGCCCGCGGCCUAUCAGCUUGUUGGUGGGGUAAUGGCCUACCAAGGCGACGACGGGUAGCCGACCUGAGAGGGUGACCGGCCACACUGGGACUGAGACACGGCCCAGACUCCUACGGGAGGCAGCAGUGGGGAAUAUUGCACAAUGGGCGAAAGCCUGAUGCAGCGACGCCGCGUGAGGAUGACGGCCUCGGGUUGUAAACCUCUUUCAGCAGGACGAAGCGCAAGUGACGUACCUGCAGAAGAAGCACCGGCUAACUACGUGACCAGCAGCCGC